rnacentral:tRNA from 2 species
CAAAGUGUAGCUUAAACCCAAAGCAUCUAGCUUACACCUAGAAGAUUUCAUAUAAAAAUGACCACUUUGAG